UCUUCUUUCCUUCCCAAGAGAUCUGAAUGGCACACUACACGGAAAUCAUCAACCCCUCAGCCGACGGUCAUCGCUUUCAGCGUUCGUGCUGGCGCCUACUCCGACGAGCUUGUCAAGACAGCAGUAUGCACCUACGUUAUUAUUAUUAAGUUCUUCAUGCACAAAGUAGGAGUCUCUGUAUGUUAGGACCUAACUAUCCACAUAUCAAAUGCAACUUUGAGGCUAUAUUUUAGUUGUUCUCAUUAUGAUCUAAAAACUAAGUUGCUCAUCUGAUAAUUUGUGAAUGUAUAUCAGAUAUAUUCACCAAAAAAAAUUUAGCAUUCAGAAAAUAACAUGAAAAUCAACAUAUGAGGUCAGUCAUAUCAGCUGCUCGAUGACACUAAAAGGGCAGACAGCAAUAGAUGAUUCUAAUAACAAUCCUUCUCAAGUCAGACGUACUAAAACGACAGCUUUUUUAGUAAUUCGAGAGAUUCUUAGUUUUGGUUCAGUAUUCAAUCCACACCCAACCAAUCAUGGUCUUAUAUUUGAUAUGCUGAUGGGAAAUCCAUAUACAAGUCUGGUCUGUAGCAACUGAGAUCAAGAUUCAGCACCCUUGCACACAAUGGAAGACGAAAGAUUAAACAGUUCUCACGGUAUAAAUUGCUGCAUGCAGAAAAGUAUUGCGUCACCAGGUAGAGGAAUACUGGCCAUGGAUGAAUCCAACGCCACCUGCGGGAAAAGACUCGCAACGAUCGGGCUGGAGAACACCGAGGCGAACCGACAAGCUUACAGGACCCUCCUUGUCUCAGCACCUGGUCUGGGUCAGUACAUCUCCGGAGCAAUCCUGUUCGAGGAAACUCUUUAUCAGUCGACCACAGAUGGUAAGAAGAUGGUUGAUGUUCUUACUCAACAGAACAUAAUGCCAGGGAUCAAGGUCGACAAGGUAAUCGCUUAAAUCAUGUGCCAAUGCUCCUGUGACGUCGUCUGCUAGGAGAUGGGCAGGGCUGUGUUUGACGCCAUGUUGUCUUUUCCUCAGGGUUUAGUGCCACUCACUGGCUCAAAUGACGAAUCAUGGUGCCAAGGACUGGACGGCCUGGCAUCGCGAUGCGCAGCAUACUAUCAACAGGGUGCCCGCUUUGCUAAAUGGUAGAAUUCACUUCAUAAGUUGCAGGAACCUUCCUCGUGCAUGUUCUCAGAGGACUUACAUCAAACACAUUGCAGGCGUACAGUGGUCAGCAUUCCAAAUGGCCCAUCGGCUCUUGCAGUCAAGGAAGCUGCCUGGGGCUUGGCUCGAUACGCUGCCAUCGCACAAGUACACACACUCGGUUCCUUGUGUUGUUUCUUCAUCUUAUACUGCUAAAUCAUUGGAUUAUGUAUAUGAGAAGCUAUGGGGACAUGGGGGCUAAAAGAACUAAGCUGACCUCAAGUUCUCUUCUAAUGGGUUUGCAGGACAAUGGGUUGGUGCCGAUUGUGGAGCCAGAAAUCCUGCUUGACGGAGACCACGGAAUCGAGAGGACCUUCGAGGUUGCACAGAAAGUAUGGGCUGAGGUCUUCUUCUACCUGGCCGAGAACAACGUCAUGUUCGAAGGCAUCCUCCUGAAGCCGAGCAUGGUGACCCCGGGCGCUGAGUGCCCAGAGAAAGCCACACCAAAGCAAGUUGCUGAGUACACCUUGAAGCUUCUGCACAGAAGAAUCCCACCUGCUGUUCCUGGCAUCAUGGUAUUAACAUACAUUUGCUUCUCUUGUUGAAGUGACAGAAAGAAAUCCAAAGAACAUAAAACCAAAAAAAAAAAAAAAAUCAAGAAAAUUAAUAAUAGAAUAUAAAUGGAACAGAUGAUUAAAAAAAAGAAAAGAAAACCCAAAUCCAAUCAACCUCGAAGUUUUUCGUUGAUAGAGAGAGAUAAGGGAAAUUCCAAACACCUUCAAAAUAUAUUUCUUUUAUGUCACCUCAAUACCCUCUUGUAUUUGAUUCAUUAUCCUAAAAAUAAAUAGUCUCCAAAUAAUAUAUUUUCGAUUGAGAUACUAAAAAGUAAUUAUUGAUUUUAAUUAAUACUCGUGUGCUUCUGAUUGAUUGCUGUGAUAACAGUUUCUUUCCGGAGGCCAGUCGGAGGUGGAGGCAACCUUCAACCUGAACGCCAUGAACCAAGGCCCCAACCCAUGGCACGUCUCCUUCUCCUACGCCAGAGCGCUACAGAACACCUGCCUCAAGACAUGGGGAGGGAGGCCGGAGAACGUAAAGGCCGCGCAAGAUGCUCUGCUCUUCCGGGCCAAGGCCAACUCGCUCGCGCAGCUCGGAAAGUAUACAGGCGAGGGUGAGUCUGCAGAGGCUACAAAGGGGAUGUUUGUCAAGGGCUACACAUACUGACAGCCCCCAUCGAAGCAUGGCGUUUCCACGGAUCCUGUGGUUUUGAGUACUACUGCCUAAUGCGAUGUAGGAGAUGAUCGAUACAGCUGAAUACUUCAAA
rnacentral:lncRNA from 1 species